GCUUUCCAAGAUGCGGGUGCUCGGGGAAAGAGGAGAGAAGGGGCCCCUCCAGGCAGGGACAGCCCGACGGCAGAUCUGGAAUUAUGAGGAAACCAAAACACAGAGAGGUUAUGCACCUUGCUCCAGCCCCACCACUCACCUGGUAUCUCCUGGGAGAAAGAAGGUGGCUCAGGUCGUCCCUGGUCCUCCACCCCUACACAGGACCUCUUCCCCUUCAUCCCUGUGGUUGAGCGGUGGUUUUCACGACACCUGUGUUCUGGCAGCAAACCCGUUGCGAAAAAGCUGGAUUUCUUUUGAAGAAUGGGACUCUCAAAGCUCUGUGCAGGGCCUUUGCUGCCCUGGUCUUUAGAAACCCUGACGUCAGAGUCUUACACUUAAUCCCCCUGUGGUGCCCCUGCCUUAACUACAUCAGUGUCCCCCAGCCCAAAGGCCCUCUGUCUUACCCUUUCCAGAAUAUGCAUCUCCCAUGGUCUCCGA